rnacentral:rRNA from 1 species
AGUGAACGCUGGCGGUAGGCCUAACACAUGCAAGUCGAACGGCAGCACAGUAAGAGCUUGCUCUUACGGGUGGCGAGUGGCGGACGGGUGAGGAAUACAUCGGAAUCUACUUUUUCGUGGGGGAUAACGUAGGGAAACUUACGCUAAUACCGCAUACGACCUACGGGUGAAAGCAGGGGAUCUUCGUACCUUGCGCGAUUGAAUGAGCCGAUGUCGGAUUAGCUAGUUGGCGGGGUAAAGGCCCACCAAGGCGACGAUCCGUAGCUGGUCUGAGAGGAUGAUCAGCCACACUGGAACUGAGACACGGUCCAGACGACUAAGGGAGGCAGCAGUGGGGAAUAUUGGACAAUGGGCGCAAGCCUGAUCCAGCCAUACCGCGUGGGUGAAGAAGGCCUUCGGGUUGUAAAGCCCUUUUGUUGGGAAAGAAAAGCAGCAGGUUAAUACCCCGCUGUUCUGACGGUACACAAAGAAUAAGCACCGGCUAACUUCGUG